GUGGGGAAUCUUGGACAAUGGGGGCAACCCUGAUCCAGCAAUGCCGCGUGGGUGAAGAAGGCCUUCGGGUUGUAAAGCCCUUUCGGCGGGGAAGAAAUCGGCCGGGCGAAUAGUCCGGUCGGAUGACGGUACCCGCAGAAGAAGCACCGGCUAACUACGUGCCAGCAGCCGCGGUAAUACGUAGGGUGCGAGCGUUAAUCGGAAUUACUGGGCGUAAAGGGUGCGCAGGCGGUUCUGUAAGACCGGUGUGAAAUCCCCGGGCUCAACCUGGGAAUUGCGCUGGUGACUGCAGGGCUAGAGUACGGUAGAGGGGGGUGGAAUUCCUGGUGUAGCAGUGAAAUGCGUAGAGAUCAGGAGGAACACCGAUGGCGAAGGCAGCCCCCUGGGCCUGUACUGACGCUCAUGCACGAAAGCGUGGGGAGCAAACAGGAUUAGAUACCCUGGUAGUCC
rnacentral:rRNA from 1 species